GGUCUCAGCAUUCCGCUGCUGCUCGCCCCUCCUCCUGCAGGCGAAAGCAAGAAGAUGACAGGGACGGUUUGCUGGCUGAACGAGAGCAGGAAGAAGCCAUUGCUCAGUUCCCAUAUGUGGAAUUCACCGGGAGAGAUAGCAUCACCUGUCUCACGUGCCAGGGGACAGGCUACAUUCCAACAGAGCAAGUAAAUGAGUUGGUGGCUUUGAUCCCACACAGUGAUCAGAGAUUGCGCCCUCAGCGAACAACUUCAGUGAAGAUUUCAUACAUUGGCCUCAUGACCCAGAGCUCCUUGGAGACACAUCACUAUGUGGAUUGUGGAGGA
rnacentral:lncRNA from 1 species